CUCUAGGCCGGGCUCCCUCUUAUGGGGAGGGCUAUGACAGAGAAUCCCCUUCAGAAACUGCUCCAGCUUGCAGCUAGUUUGGGGUUUUCCAGACCCUCUCCCUCCGCUGGUGGGUGGAAACAGUCUUCUCAUUUCCAGCCUCAGCUGAGCCCUGGACCUAGGAUUCCAGAUUAAAAUGUCUCAGUAGCUCCUGGAAAUACAAGGCCUGGUACAUCAGCUGACCAUGGCCUGACAAUGCCAGCAGGAGGACUACCCUGUGGACUCUCAAGCCCCUAAAAGCAAGACUGGGAGUGUCGUGAAUCGUGUGGGGAACUCCAUUUAAGGUGUUGUAGCUUGAUGCCCUCACAGAGGCAACGGAUCGAAUAUAUCUGGACAGUGAGGAACAGACCUUUCUGCGGGGAAGACCAGGAGCGCGUCGGGAUCACUGCAGAUGUAGCAAUCGAGGCUGCCGGAAGCCAGAGUGUGGCCGGUGUUUUCUUUCUGACUCGCUGGACCAUGGCUGUGGCGAUACACGGACGUUCAGGGUGUGACCCCCAAGUCAUUUGGCAGUGAGCGGUCCUGCUUGGGAGCCACGGCAGCAAGGCAUUGUGAGGCACCCCACAUUGCAGGGGAGGUUGUGUAGUUCUAGGAUGAUUGUACAAGUUAUAAAACUCUUCGUGUCACUAAAAUCCAGCCCAUCAACUGGUUAUAAUUCUUCAACUCAUUACUCCUGGGGGAAUUCUGCAGCCCUGUGUGCGCUCAGAAUUUAUGUCCCUUGCAAAUUUCUUUGUUUCCCCACAGAAAAAUGACUUUUUGAUAAGAAAGCCGCAAGAGCGAUUGUGCAGCCUUCCCAGCAGUACGUUUUAGUGUCCAGGGCAGUCGGCAGAGAGGUAAAUCUUGUGGACCAGGGGACGGGACUGGGGAAGACCUGGCUAGUAGCUCCUACCAUGUGCCGGGCUCAGCUGCUAGUCCCAUCUGGGUUGGGGAGGAUGGGACUUCCUCUUCCCCUGCACGGCAUCUGGGGUCGUGUCAGACCCAUGUCCAGAUUUCUCCCCCAGCUGUAGGAAGUGCCAUGUGCACAUCCCACCACCCCUGCACUCAUCGCUCUUCAGCUGCAGGGGCAGGGAUUGCUGUAGAGGGAGCUGCUUCCCCUGUGCCCAACCCCAGGCCUCCUCAUACCCAGACCUUUCCGCCAAGCCUCACCCCCUGCACUCAAAUCCCCUGAUGAACCCCACUUACCCAGCAUCCCCACACCCAGACCCCCACUUCUGCUGAGCCCCAACCACAUUCACCGGGACACUCUGCCCCCCCCCCAGAGUCUCCCAUUACUGUUGAACCCUCCAACAAGCCCCUGUGCAUCUAGGUGCCCCCCCACAGCUGGAUCUGCCACUGAGCCGCCUGCACCCAGAUUGCCCCACCCAGAACCCUCUCAACCCACAGCUGGAUCCCCCCACACUAAGUCCUGCUAGACUUGGACCCUGCCUUGCUGAGCCUGCCUGCCCACAGCUGAUGCACCUGGCAAGGAGGGGCAGGGCUCUGGGCUGUUUCUGGGCCAGGCUCUGUCCUUGCGCUGUGUCAGGGUUGUUGCAGCGUCACCGCUGCUCCCACCUCUAUGAAGCCAGUGACCUGUGCUCCCCAAUGCCAUGCUGGAGCCUCUACAUUUAUUUGACAAAUGAAUUAUGCAGAUUUUUAAAAUAUGUACAGAAUUUGUAUUUUUUUGGUGCAGAAUGUCCUCAGGAGUAACUUGUUCUAUACCUUUCAUUCUCCUUGUUUUGGAUACUAGCAUUCCAGGUACUGACCCCAGAAGUUACCGUUGUAAUUUGUACUGGGGCAAAAUAGAAAUGUAUUUGGAUUUUUGACAAGUGACCGAUCUGCUUAUGUCACAGGCUAAGCGGUACUAUCGCAACAUGUGGAUUACCUCCUUUGCAUUGCCUGGGCGUUCAGUUCGGCCUGCCUUCUGGUUACAACACAGAGCAAUCUACCUCCUGGGACCAGGGGGGUUACUUGUUUGAUGGGUUACCGAAGGACUCAGUGGCUAGUCACAAAUCCCUGCGUUGAGUCUCUGCCACCAGUCUGGUGUCCGUGACACAAGAUGUUAAUGGCAACUGGCAAGGGUGUGUGUGUGUACAGAAACCACCUGUUUGCUAUGAACAUUCUGGUUCUUCCAAAGCAUCUCAGGUGAGGCCUCACCUGAAUGCCGGGGACAUGCUAGUCAUUAAUAUUGUGGUCCAAUGUUGUACAGAUACUAUGUAAGGAGUUGUGUGUGUGUGUGUGUGUGUAUAUAUAUAUAUACUGGAAAAUGUGUAAGGUGGAUGUGUCUGUUUGGAUGUAAAUGUAGCGUAAAAUAACAGAAUGCAUGUCUGUUUACAUACAAAGUCUAUGUAAUGAAGAGAUGUGAACUCUACAGAAAAAGAGCAGGCAGGCAAAAACAAGCCCUGGGGAAUUAUCCUGCCUUAGACUAAAGACAAUGAAUGUCAGGCUAUAUACAGAAGGCACCCCUUCAUCCUGCACCUAGCAAGUGAAUGGACGGCCUGGGUCGCAGGCAGCCUUGGUCGAAAACCCCGCAGCAGACUGGGGGUGAGAGAAACAUCUUCAGCGAGGAGGUUAACUGGAUUGUUUUGUGUCUAGAAAGGGUGCUAUGAUUUUGGUUGCUUAGGUAAUGACUUGGUUCCAACAUUCUUAUUAAACUGUGUGCUUUGUUGAUAAUUUUAUUCUCAUUUUCUGUAAUCUCAGCCCCUGUGCUGAAGCCAAGUGUUGGGGGCCUGAGUUGAAUCUUACAAACCAGCUCUCCUUAUGGCUAAGAGCAAGUGUUGUACUGGGGAUGUGUUCAUGGGCAC